CUCAAAUAAAGCUGGGUUGCAGUACCACAUAUCACCGUUAGGUGCUGCUACUUGACAGUAUAGUAAAGGGAUUGAAAUCUAAACAAAAUCUUUUUCCUUCCUCCCUUUUUUUUUCUUUUGUGCUUGUUGACUGUCAAGCCCUAUACUAUACUCUGCAGAUACUGCAAUAAACAAGACAAAAAGUCUUAUGAAGCAGAUGAGUCAUUACUAUAGGAAGUGAGUUUAGAAGAGAGCUUCUAUUUCGAGUUUAUGCUGAAGUAGAAAGCCCAUCUAUGUGGAACCUGAAGGCCAACCUCAGAGGAACCUGUUGUCUCUCCUCCAGGAACUCAUCUGUGUCCAGGAAGAUGCUUGUUCUAUUCUAAUCAGAAGCCAGUGGGUGCUGGCCUGCUGGCUGGCUGUAAACCGGAGAAUGAGCGGAGGCCAGGGAGUGUGAGCAUAUCUUCAGGCCACCACUCUGGUCUCACCCUUAGUCAACUACACUGGCCCCUUGACCAGUUUCACAGCACCGACUCCUACUAUCUUCUAACAGACUGGCUGCUGCCACUGUGAUAUUUCUGGACAAUCACCUGGAACACAUUCUGUUGUUUAAAACCUUCCAGUGGCAUCUCUGUGCUCUUUGGAUUGCUAGAAAUAGUAUUCCUGAAUUACCUGGUAGAACACACAUCAUCCUUCAGAGGAGGAAGGGGAGGAAUGACCAUGUCACCAGAAAUUUGUUCAUUACUACUAUAAUUUGGAUCUGGAAUGAUCCUCAAAUGCCCAUGUGAUAAAAGCCUGGUCCUCAGUCUUUGGUGUUAUUAGAAGAUGGUGGAACCUUCAAGAGGUGAGGCUAAGUGGGAGGUCUUUAGGUCACUGGGAGUGUGUCCUCAAAGGAGGUUGGAACCUUGGUCUCUCUCUUCUCUCUCCCUUUCUCUUCUUCCUCCUUUUUCUCCUCCUCCUUUUUCUUCUUUUCUCCCUCUCUCUUCCUACUUCCUGGUCAUGAGGUUUUCUCUGCCAUGUGCUCCCACUGUGAUGAGCUGCCACAGACCCAAAGCAAUGGGAACAACCAAUCAUGGACAGAAACCUCUAUAACUGUGAAAAGUAACUGAAAACUAACACAAGUAUUUAUUAUUUCAACCUAUUUCUCCUGAGAUGCAUUUAUUUUCUCAUUAUUUCAUGUACCACAGCCAAUCCCAUGCACUUCCAC
rnacentral:lncRNA from 1 species